GACGAACGCUGGCGGCGUGCUUAACACAUGCAAGUCGAACGGAAAGGCCCUGCUUUUGUGGGGUGCUCGAGUGGCGAACGGGUGAGUAACACGUGAGUAACCUGCCCUUGACUUUGGGAUAACUUCAGGAAACUGGGGCUCAUACCGGAUAGGAGCUCCUGCUGCAUGGUGGGGGUUGGAAAGUUUCGGCGGUUGGGGAUGGACUCGCGGCUUAUCAGCUUGUUGGUGAGGUAGGGGCUUACCAAGGCUUUGACGGGUAGCCGGCCUGGGAGGGCGACCGGCCACAUUGGGACUGAGAGACGGCCCAGACUGCUACGGGAGGCAGCAGUGGGGAAUAUUGCACAAUGGGCGGAAGCCUGAUGCAGCAACGCCGCGUGCGGGAUGACGGCCUUCGGGUUGUAAACCGCUUUCGCCUGUGACGAAGCGUGAGUGACGGUAAUGGGUAAAGAAGCACCGGCUAACUACGUG
rnacentral:rRNA from 1 species